AACGAACGCUGGCGGCAUGCCUAACACAUGCAAGUCGAACGAAGCCUUCGGGCUUAGUGGCGCACGGGUGCGUAACGCGUGGGAAUCUGCCCUUUGGUUCGGAAUAACAGUUGGAAACGACUGCUAAUACCGGAUGAUGACGAAAGUCCAAAGAUUUAUCGCCAGAGGAUGAGCCCGCGUAGGAUUAGCUAGUUGGUGUGGUAAAGGCGCACCAAGGCGACGAUCCUUAGCUGGUCUGAGAGGAUGAUCAGCCACACUGGGACUGAGACACGGCCCAAACUCCUACGUGAGGCAGCAGUGGGGAAUAUUGGACAAUGGGCGAAAGCCUGAUCCAGCAAUGCCGCGUGAGUGAUGAAGGCCCUAGGGUUGUAAAGCUCUUUUACCCGGGAUGAUAAUGACAGUACCGGGAGAAUAAGCCCCGGCUAACUCCGUGCCAGCAGCCGCCGCCG
rnacentral:rRNA from 1 species